UAGACUCAGGUUAACUAGUUCCUCCUGAGGGCACACCUGUUUAAGAAGAACAGCGUGCUCUCCCGUAAUUCAAAAUGGUUCCUUUCCCCACUCCCUGCUGGGAGCACAAGGGAAUUUUCCCCUCAUGUCUAAUGUGAGGACUCAGUCAAGUUUCUCGAGGUAAAACUGACAGAAGCACCUCACCCCCUGCCCCGCCGUGAAUGAGUCCUUCUGCAGUUUUUAACUCUCAGUAUUGCUCACACUGAGCCUAGAGCUAUUCGUCAACUACUGUUCCAGGUUUCUUACCCUGCCACUGGUUCCACGGAGCUUUCUGUACAGGAACAUCUUAUGGUGUUUGUGGGGAAACAAGAGUCUGCAAGAGGAUAUAUACCCCCAAAUAUUUGCAUCUCCCAGGAACUUCACCCUCUCGCGGAGAAUAAUCAGCUGGCCUCCCCCAAGUCACCACAUCUCUAGGCCACCAACCAGUUUGAAAAUUUUUGUGGGACACAUGUCUUUAUUUAAAGUCUUUCCAAUGCUUUGGGACUUCUUUUCUUUGGCAAUCUGCAAUCAAGCUGGAGUGGUUUUCUUGGUAGUGACUGCAUCUUUCAAAAUAUUUAAAGACAUACACUGACUGUACCUGCCUGAAGAAAGAAACAGUGGAUAAGGCAAGCAUCAGACAACUCUAAAGCCUGGGAAAGACAAAGCUCAGGAGGAAAUUCCUUGAAGAAAUAAAAACAUAGACAGCUCAUUCUGUUUACAGGGUGUGCAAUAUGUAUGACCUGGGCUAAAAGCAGGCUCAGAAUAGACCUGAGUGAACCCUAGGCAUGCACCUUUGGGAUAACUGUGAGCUCUACAAAAGCUAAAUAUUAAGGUUAGGGCACAGUCCUGGGUAGUCUGGCUUGGUAUUGAAGUGAUACAACUCAGAGGUAAUCUGCACAAAUUAGGAGAGUAGGAUUACCUUUUAACUCCAGAUGUAUUAAAAAAAAUCUGUCGGGUCACUUGCUUACUGCUGAGAUAAUGAAGCAUAGGAAACAUAGGCUUCAAGAACUAUACAGCAUAAGGAAUACAAUCUUUGUAAAAAUAGUUUGGAAAAGUCACCAAAUAGACAAGUAGAGCCCUAAAAAAUUAACAAAAAUUAACACCAGCAAACCCAGGGGAAUGAGGAGAAUCUAAUUUCCAGAGUUACCACCUUUAAAUAUUCAAACUGCACAGUUGUGUUUUUUUAAAAAUCACAAGGCCUAAAAAGAAAAAGGAAGUAUGGCCCAUUCACAUGGGAAAAAAAAAGACAGCUGGUUGUGAGGAAGCACAGACACUAGAAUUAGCAGAUAAAACCUUUAAAUUAACUAUCAAUCAUCUUAAAAAUGCUUAAUAGGCUAAAAGAAAUCAUGGCUAAAGAAAUAAAGAAAACUGGGAAAAUAAAUAAUGUCUAAAGAAGUAAAAUAUUAAUAAGAAAUAAUAAAAAAGGAUCCAAAGAGAAAUUAUAGUGUCAAAAAGUAAAAUAGUUGUUUAAAUUAAAAAAAUAAUAGUAAAAGAAUUCAGCAGCUUUCCGAAGGCAGUAGAAAUAACUAGCAAAUUUGGAAAUAGCAAUUAGAAUUAUCAAGUCAGAAGAACAGAUUGAAGAAAUAGUGACUGAAAACUUCAAAAGUUUGAUGGAGGGUAUGAGCUACACAUUCAAGAGCUUAAAAAAUA
rnacentral:lncRNA from 1 species